CCGCCGCUCUGGGCCGCAGCCCGGGCCCUGACUGCAUUUCCGCCGGCGCCCGAGCGAUGAAGGGCGGGUCCUGCAUCCGAGGCAUCCCCGAUCCAUCCAGCAUCUUCUCGCGCAGUCUUCUUCGACCCGCUGCCACAGUCCCGGCGCCCCAGGCCCUGCGCAGAUGAAGACCCUCCCUCGGACGGCUUUGCGGGCCCUGCCUCAGCCGUCGCCCCCUUCUCUCCUGCAGGACCCGGACCCGCGCUGCAGGGGCUGAGUGCCCCCUGGGUCGGCGUCUGAGUCUUGCCUCCCCGUAGGCUCAGUACCUGGCACGUGUCCAAGGCUCAGCAGCUGUACCACAACCACCCAACAGGAGAGAAGGAAAGGAGAGGUGCACCCCGGGGAUGUGGUGAGGCCAUCCCGUCAUGGGGAAUCAGAAAAGGACUGCGUCUUAGCCAGCCAGCUGGGGGAAGAGGAGGCAGCACCGGGCAGAGGGGCCCUUGAGAGAUGUCACCAUCCUGUUAAGAAAGGGCUGGACCACAGCGCUGCAGAGGCCUCUCCUGUCUGGGCCACGGGGAAGGCUUUGUGCAGGACUGGAAGCAGUUGCUGGGUCCUUGGGCUCCACUGGGCUUACUACUCCCAGGCCUUUUCCAUGGGCCUCCUUUUCCAGCAAGCCCCCGUCUUUCCCUGCCCCUGCACUUGGACAUGAUCACCGGCUGCCCAUGGCCCGUUGAUGAGUCCACGGUGUGCAGAGGCCGUCGUGGAAGUUGUCGUGUCAGCAGCGCUGUAGACCGCAGUGUCCUUGAGUGUUCAUUCUGACUCUUCUCUGGGAGCAUUGAGAUUCCUUUUUGAGCCAAGAUUGGUGUGGAAAAAAACACUGCAGCUCAUCUCUGACUAAUUGGGGACGCUUUCAUGGAUGUCACCUUAAAGAAAGAUGAGGGGUGCUGCUUUGGAAGAAGCCUCGGGGGUCAGAACCACUCGCCCUCUCAAGGUGAGGACCUGGGUCCCAGCUCCCCCGGAGGGUCCUCCUCAUGGUAUUUAGGGGCUGACCGCGGACACUGGCGUAGCAGCGUGAAGCAGGAUGUUGUCGCAUGACCAUCGCCAAACCUUUCUCUUCUGUUGCCUCAGCACAGCGUGGAAGGACUCUGCCCUCUGUGUGAACAGGGCAGAGGGGAAGUUCUGGGGCUCCAGGGACUUGGGGUUCAGAGCUGGAGACCUUCUACUGGCUCCCAGCAGGUGCCUCAGAACACUGCUGACCAGGAAGACUGUGUCUUCCCAUCUGGACCAGGUCAUCCCGUGGCUUCUGUGUCUCCCAUUUGCUCCUAGUAUAACUUUUUAGAACCAGGAGUUCCUGUUGGAGUCUUGUGUGCCGUGCAUCUUAUCUUCUCACCCACUUAAAUAAAUCUCGAAACUGCCCUGC